rnacentral:rRNA from 1 species
UGCAGUCGAACGAUGCACUCAUCCUAUGACUUGCUAGAUAUGAUUAGUGGCGGACGGGUGAGUAACAUUUAGGAAUCUGCCUAGUAGUGGGGGAUAGCUCGGGGAAACUCGAAUUAAUACCGCAUACGACCUACGGGUGAAAGGGGGCGCAAGCUCUUGCUAUUAGAUGAGCCUAAAUCAGAUUAGCUAGUUGGUGGGGUAAAGGCCCACCAAGGCGACGAUCUGUAACUGGUCUGAGAGGAUGAUCAGUCACACCGGAACUGAGACACGGUCCGGACUCCUACGGGAGGCAGCAGUGGGGAAUAUUGGACAAUGGGGGCAACCCUGAUCCAGCCAUGCCGCGUGUGUGAAGAAGGCCUUUUGGUUGUAAAGCACUUUAAGCAGGGAGGAGAGGCUAAUGGUUAAUACCCAUUAGAUUAGACGUUACCUGCAGAAUAAGCACCGGGCUAACUCUGUGCCAGCAGCCGCGGUAAUACAGAGGGUGCGAGCGUUAAUCGGAAUUACUGGGCGUAAAGCGAGUGUAGGUGGCUCAUUAAGUCACAUGUGAAAUCCCCGGGCUUAACCUGGGAACUGCAUGUGAUACUGGUGGUGCUAGAAUAUGUGAGAGGGAAGUAGAAUUCCAGGUGUAGCGGUGAAAUGCGUAGAGAUCUGGAGGAAUACCGAUGGCGAAGGCAGCUUCCUGGCAUAAUAUUGACACUGAGAUUCGAAAGCGUGGGUAGCAAACAGGAUUAGAUACCCUGGUAGUCCACGCCGUAAACGAUGUCUACUAGCCGUUGGGGUCCUUGAGACUUUAGUGGCGCAGUUAACGCGAUAAGUAGACCGCCUGGGGAGUACGGCCGCAAGGUUAAAACUCAAAUGAAUUGACGGGGGCCCGCACAAGCGGUGGAGCAUGUGGUUUAAUUCGAUGCAACGCGAAGAACCUUACCUGGUCUUGACAUAGUGAGAAUCCUGCAGAGAUGCGGGAGUGCCUUCGGGAAUUCACAUACAGGUGCUGCAUGGCUGUCGUCAGCUCGUGUCGUGAGAUGUUGGGUUAAGUCCCGCAACGAGCGCAACCCUUUUCCUUAUUUGCCAGCGGGUUAAGCCGGGAACUUUAAGGAUACUGCCAGUGACAAACUGGAGGAAGGCGGGGACGACGUCAAGUCAUCAUGGCCCUUACGACCAGGGCUACACACGUGCUACAAUGGUAGGUACAGAGGGUUGCUACACAGCGAUGUGAUGCUAAUCUCAAAAAGCCUAUCGUAGUCCGGAUUGGAGUCUGCAACUCGACUCCAUGAAGUCGGAAUCGCUAGUAAUCGCAGAUCAGAAUGCUGCGGUGAAUACGUUCCCGGGCCUUGUACACACCGCCCGUCACACCAUGGGAGUCUAUUGCACCAGAAGUAGGUAGCCUAACGAAAGAGGGCGCUUA